AGUGAACGCUGGCGGUAGGCCUAACGCAUGCAAGUCGAACGGCAGCACAGUAAGAGCUUGCUCUUACGGGUGGCGAGUGGCGGACGGGUGAGGAAUACAUCGGAAUCUACUUUUUCGUGGGGGAUAACGUAGGGGAACUUACGCUAAUACCGCAUACGACCUACGGGUGAAAGCAGGGGAUCUUCGGACCUUGCGCGAUUGAAUGAGCCGAUGUCGGAUUAGCUAGUUGGCGGGGUAAAGGCCCACCAAGGCGACGAUCCGUAGCGGGUCUGCGAGGAUGAUCAGCCACACUGGAACUGAGACACGGUCCAGACUCCUACGGGAGGCAGCAGUGGGGAAUAUUGGACAAUGGGCGCAAGCCUGAUCCAGCCAUACCGCGUGGGUGAAGAAGGCCUUCGGGUUUUAAAGCCCUUUUGUUGGGAAAGAAAAGCAGCAGGUUAAUACCCCGCUGUUCUGACGGUACCCAAAGAAUAAGCACCGGCUAACUUCGUG
rnacentral:rRNA from 1 species